UGGGGAAUCUUGCGCAAUGGGGGAAACCCUGACGCAGCGACGCCGCGUGCGGGAUGAAGGCCUUCGGGUUGUAAACCGCUUUCAGCAGGGACGAGGCCUUAUGGUGACGGUACCUGCAGAAGAAGCUCCGGCUAAAUACGUGCCAGCAGCCGCGGUAAUACGUAUGGAGCAAGCGUUAUCCGGAUUCAUUGGGCGUAAAGCGCUCGUAGGCGGUCUGUUAGGUCGGCAAGUUAAAUCCGGGGGCUCAACCCCGGAACUGCCUUUGAUACUGGAAGUCUUGAGUAUGGUAGAGGUGAGUGGAAUUCCGAGUGUAGAGGUGAAAUUCGUAGAUAUUCGGAGGAACACCAGUGGCGAAGGCGGCUCACUGGACCAUUACUGACGCUGAGGUGCGAAAGCGUGGGGAGCAAACAGG
rnacentral:rRNA from 1 species